GGGGGAUUAGCUCAGUUGGCUAGAGCGUUUGACUGGCAGUCAAGAGGUCAUCGGUGCCUAAAUUGUCGGAAACCAGAUUUCCGCAUCAAUUUCUAGCAUGCUCGUAUUUCUACAAAAUCAAAGAUUUUUGGAAAUAUGGCAUUCGAUUCCGUUAUGCUCCA
rnacentral:tRNA from 1 species